UCUAAUAUAUGUUUGAAUAGUUUCCAUUUAUCCUCAGUGUUUUUAUCACUAAGGAGUUUAUGCCAGUCGAUAUGUUGUAGAGCUGCCCUAAUCUUAUUGAAAUUGGCUUUUUUUAAAAUUAUAUGUUUUAGUAUACCCCACCUGCUUUUGCUUUUUUGAGUUUAUUUCAAAAUUUACCAUAUUGUGAUCACUAUUUCCCAAAUGCUCCCCUACUUGAAUGUUGGUUAAAAGAUCAACAUUGUUUGUUAUGACAAGAUCCAGACAAG